rnacentral:rRNA from 1 species
UGAGGAAUAUUGGUCAAUGGGCGUAAGCCUGAACCAGCCAAGUCGCGUGAGGGAAGACGGUCCUACGGAUUGUAAACCUCUUUUGCCGGGGAGCAACGGGGCCCUUGCGAGGGCCCGAUGAGAGUACCCGGAGAAAAAGCAUCGGCUAACUCCGUGCC